rnacentral:miRNA from 1 species
UGUCCUUCUCUUUCCCCCAG